AUUGAACGCUGGCGGCAGGCCUAACACAUGCAAGUCGAACGGAGUGGCGGACGGGUGAGUAAUGUCUGGGAAACUGCCUGAUGGAGGGGGAUAACUACUGGAAACGGUAGAUAAUACCGCAUACUAUCAGAUGAGCCUAGGGCGGAUUUGCGAGUUGGUGGGGUAAAGGCCUACAAAGGCGACGAUCCGCAACGGGUCUGAGAGGAUGAUCAGUCACACUGGAACUGAGACCCUGUCCAGACUCCUACGGAAGGCAGCAGGGGGGGAUAGUGGGCAAUGGGGGAACGCCUGAUCCAGCCAUGCCGCGUGUGUGAAGAAGGUCUUCGAAUUGUAGAGCACUUUAGGUUGGGAGGCGUUGCCAACAAAAUAAGCACCGGCUAACGUCGUGCCAGCAGCCGCGGUAAUUC
rnacentral:rRNA from 1 species